AGGGAUCCAGGGGUGGAGCCAGAGCGCCACGUGCGGCUAGUGCGGAGCAAGAGGCUGGGCCGGAGGCGGCAGCAUGGCGGCGUCCGGAGCGAAGAAGAAACAGCAGCAGCGAGCGGCCGCGGCGGGGGGAGCCGGGCGCAGGCGGCGCAAGGUCCCUGAUGCAGAGGAGAAAUCCUGGCAGAAAGCUGGCUUGAAGCUGAAUGAGGAGAUCUCCAGUGACUCCGAUACAGAGAGCCCUACAUUUGGUGGGAAGCGGAAGAAGGACAAUGAGGCAGAAGAGGAGAUUGAAGAGACCGCACAGGAAAAGAAGCUGAGAUUAGCCAAACUUUACCUGGAGCAGCUUCGACAGCAGGAGGAGGAAAAGGCAGAAGAGGUGGCCUUGGAAAAGGACUUGGUUGCUGGCCGACUGAAGGAAGAUGUGCUUGAACAGAAGGGAAAACUGCAGCGACUGAUCGCCAAAGAUUUGCAGCCUCCAGAUACAGCAGCCAUCCGAGUGCUGCGAGGUCACCAACUGCCCAUCACCUGCCUGGUCAUCUCUCCAGAUGACAAGUGCAUCUUCUCAGCUGCCAAAGACUGCUCUAUCAUCAAAUGGGAUGUGGAGAGCGGGAAGAAGUUGCACGUGAUCCCUGGAGGGAAGAAGGGGACAGAGACCCAGCACAUCGGCCACACAGCGCACAUUCUUUCCAUGGCCAUCUCGUCAGAUGGCAAAUACCUGGCCACAGGAGACAGGAACAAACUGAUCAUGAUCUGGGAUGCUGUCACGUGCAAGCACCUGUAUAAAUUCACUGGCCAUCGAGACGCUGUGACGGGCCUGUCAUUCCAGAAGGGCACUCACCAACUGUACAGCGCCUCACACGAUCGCUCCGUCAAAGUCUGGAACGUGGCCGAGAAUGCCUACGUGGAAACGCUGUUCGGGCACCAAGAUGCGAUCACGGGGCUGGACAGCCUGAGCCGGGAGUGCUGUGUCACGUCAGGUGGGCGAGACGGCACCGUCCGGGUCUGGAAGAUCCCCGAGGAGUCUCAGCUUGUGUUCUACGGGCACCAGGGCUCCAUCGACUGCGUCCAGCUGAUCAACGAGGAGCACAUGGUGUCCGGCGCGGACGAUGGGUCGGUCGCCCUUUGGGGUCUUUCGAAGAAGAAGCCGCUCACGACGGUGAGGCAAGCGCAUGGUAACCACGGCACCCAGGGCCUGGAGCAGCCAUACUGGAUCUCCUCGGUGGCCGCCCUGCUGAACAGUGACAUUGUAGCCACAGGUGCCUCACGCUGCUCGCACAGCGCCAGCGUGCGGCUGUGGAAGUGUGGCGAGGGAUUCCGAAGGCUGGAGCUGCUCUUCGACAUCCCCCUGAUCGGCUUUGUCAACAGCUUGAAGUUCUCGAAUGCCGGGGAUUUCCUGGUUGUUGGCAUCGGACAGGAACACAGGUUGGGCCGCUGGUGGCGAAUCAAAGAAGCCAAGAACAGUGUCUGCAUCAUCCCGCUGCAGAGGACGGCAGCUGGCAGCGCACAGCCAGCUGAUGGCUCCUAACCCUGCUCCCCUCUUGCAUAUGGUCGUGUUGCUGCUAGAGCUUUCUGGGGAAACUGAGGUCCAAGGCCAGGGACAGAGCCGGGACUAGAACCCAGGUAUCCCAAGAACCAGUGCACAGAGCUAUUCAGUGGGCCACCAUUGCUUUUCUACUUUAGCAACUGAGUUGUUUUCUCACCUCCAGCAAAAAGCUUGGUGCUGCCUUGAUUUUUAAAGUGAAGGCUCAGGGCCUCCUGCCUGGCUCCCAUAACCUGCCCCUUUCUAGCACCUCAGUGCAUAGAGGAUUGACCUGACCUGGUGCUGCAACACUUUUCAUUGUCGUUUGUAGUAUGGUGACACUGAGAGGUGGCAGCUGGGCUGGGAGCCCUGUUGGGCAGCCUAUACACUGAAGCGUCCACAGGGCAAAGGGUGUCAGGGCCCCCCAUGACAGAGGAACUGAGGCACAAAGUGAUAACAUGACUCGCCAAAGGUGUGUCACGCAGGCUGGGGCACAGCAGGGCACUGACCCCACAUUGCCUGAAUCACAGAACCCAGUCACUCCAUCAUCAGUCCCUGGAACCAUGCAGUUCUGCCAAGAAGACACAGACAUCCAGCUCUUGCUUUCUACUCCAGGGAGAGGCCCACAGGGCACCUACGGGCAUCCGUUAAAAAAAAAAGCACUUUAUUUACAUAAAUUACAAAAACCACAAACUUGGUCACAAAAAAGAUCUAUGCUUAAAAACUCACUUGGCUUGUAAUACAUGUGUCACAAUGAUAAUAAUCCUAGUCAAGGGCCAAAGAACACGUACAUUUUCAUUAGUAGCCGGCUAAUUAUAGUUUUCUCUCCAGCCAAAAGGCUCCUUCCAAUAAAUAGUUUAUAAAAAUUAAAAAAAUGCCACGAGAUACAGAGCUACAUUGCCCAGCUCAGCCUGUCAUUUGGUUUUCAGGAUCUCCCUUGCAUUGAGUGCCAGUGGCCACAGGUACAGUGGGGGGAGGCAGGAAUGCACAGCUGUCUCCCGGUGGGGGGAGAUUAGUGACUAGAAGCAGUGGAGCAGGAGGCUAAUUGCUAGUGCCUGUCCAGCAGUCAGGAAGAGCCGUGGUGCUGACAGGUGUCCUGCUGGAGCAGUGGAUAGUAUGGUGGGAAGGGGGCAUUGGCAGAAGGACAGGAUAUUGGCACCGGUGUCACGGCUGAGGGCUGGGCACAGCGACGAACACUGGAAUUCUAGCGCUUAGCACCAACAUCAUGGGGCUACUGUGAAAAAAGUUGAGACCCACAGAAAACUUUUAAGAGAGAUCAGCAGCACGUUUGCUUAAAUAACUAAUAACUCACCUGGUUUAAAUACUUCUAUAGUUCUACAGUAAACACGGAUUUUUCCAUCAGUUAGCUGAAAAAUACUGGUAUGACCUCUUUAGCACUACCCAGCCUACCAGGGCCUUGAUACGGAUAAUUCCUUACAGGACGUGCUGGCUAAUGAUGUCAUUUGAGACACAGGAAGAGCAGCUCAGCAUCUGAAUGCAUUUCAAAGGCAGAAGAUCCGUUGCUGUGAAAUUAACCACUAACAAAUUCUCAGUAAGGAUCCAAAUUGUUGUGCCAAUAACUUCACCCUGUCUCUCUCCUCUGAGCGCUGCCUUGCAUGUCCUAUUUCAGCCAUCCAAGCCAAUGGGCAAGAGGGCAGGUGCUCACCUCAUCACGCCAGGGACCCCAGCGACUUGAAAUCUAAUUGAUUAACAAAACAAAUAGUUACAAGUAAUUUACCUAUGUCCCUCCACAAAGGUUGGGGACUUUUGAAAUCCCAUUUUCCUCUUUCUAAAUGUCUCCCUGGGGCUGUGAGAAAGACCCACACAAACAGCAGGAAAAUGAGUAUUCAUAUGGGGUGGGGAAGGAGGGGAACUCUACACAAAGUGCUAUCAAAUAUAAAAAGGAAACAUACUGGAAAAAACAGACAUGAAUUUUUGAUUCUUUACCCUGAUCCUAGGAAUCACUUGUAAUCGUAAUGGGUAACGUAAUUCAGUGUGAAAUGUA